GCACGGCUGAACAAAGCUCCCACACCAGCAGGCUCAGCUUCUUUCCAGAGGCUGUAACACUGCUGAACAAAACUACACCUCCUGUCUAGCAUUCACACCUUAGCUAUUUACUU